CAAAAUCUGGGAGUAGAGGGUUUACUGGGGGAGUUAGGGUGGGUAGAAGGUUAGCUUGGAAAGAAGGGAGAGUAAAAUUCAAGAAAUGGGGUCAAACCAGGUGUGCUACAAUGCACAAGGACCCAGGUUCAAGCCCCCAGUCCCUGCCUGUAGGGGGGAAGCUUCGUGAACCAUGAAGCAGUACUGCAGACGUCUCUUUUACUCUCUCCCUCUCUUAUCUGCUUCUCCCCUCAAUUUCUAUCUCUAGCCAAUCAAUAAAAUAUUAAAAAAAUAGCCAAUCAAUAAAAUAUUAAAAAAAAAAUGAUUAGCUUUGAAAAACAUACAACGGGAAGAUAGCAAAAAGCCCUUUAUGCCUGAAGUUCCAAAGCCUUGGGUUCAGUACCCAGGCCCACCAUCAGCCAGACUGAACUUACUCUGGUUUCUCUCUGCAUCUUUCUCUCUCUAUCUCUCUCUUUUAAAUUAUUUAUUUAUUAUUGGAUUGAGACAGAAAUUGAGAAGACAGGGGGACAUAGAGAGGGAAAGAGAUAGACACUUGCAGCCCUGCUUCACCACUCGUGAAGCUUUCUGCCUGUAGGCUUGAACCCAGGUCCUUGUGCACUAUAAUGUGUGUACUCAACAUGGUGCACCACCUCCUGGCCCUAGUAUCUUUCUAGAUCUUUCAUUAAAAUAAAACAAAAUAUAUUUUAAAAUAAAUGUAUACUUAAAUUUUUUUUUAUUAUUUUUAUUUAUUGGAUAGAGAUAGCCAGAGAUCAAGAGGGAUGGGAGAGAUAGAGAGAGAGAGAGACAGAGAGACACCUGUAGACCUGCUUUCACCACUUGUAAAGCUUCCCCCCUGCAGGUGGGGACCCAGGGGCUCGAACCUGGGUCCUUGUGCACUGUAAUGUGUUCACUUAACCAGGUGUGCCACCGCCUGCCCCCCUUAAAUGUAUAGUUUUAGAUAUAAUAUGUGUCGAUGUAUGGCUAUGAGAAAUUUUAUGGAGAUGGAGAAACAGACUUUGUGCACCCACGUCUGUCAUCACACCAGAGAAGUCUGUGCUGGGCACAGAACAGUUGCAUUUAAAGCUUUCUGUCCUUUUAUUAUUAUUAUUAUUUCAACCUAAAGUGCCUGAGAGUUAAAUCAGGAGGGUUAGAUUGUCCAUAAGCUUUUCUUUUUUUUACUUAAGUACUUUAUUUUUUAAAAAAUUUUAUUCAUUUUUAUCACUGCUCAGCUCUGGCUUAUGGUGGUGCAGGGGAUUGAACCUGGGAUCUUAGAGCUUCAGGUAUACAUGAGAGUCUCUUUGCAUAACCAUUAUGCCAUCUACUCCCCACCCCUAUUCUUAAGCUUUUUCAAGCCACCAGGAUUUAGAGAGGAAAUACUACACUGAUUUUUCUCUUCCUGUUGGAAAACUGGCAAGCUGACAGGGUCCUGGCCACACAUUGCUGGUGAAGUACUCCCAGCUGUAACGGUAAAACAGUUUGCAACAUAGCAGAUGGAGCCUCAGACUCCAGAGGGAAAGGCCAUGGGAAGAGCUCACCAUUCAACUUCAAAGCGUCUUCGAAAGUAGCAGUAAGGACAGUGGGAGCAAGUGACUGCAGCUCCUGGCAAAGCCGGAAGACAGAGUGCCCAGGUUGUUUUGCUACCUUGAAAAGCCUCACAGUGGACUUGAUUCUUGCCAUUGUUGUUUCUUAGUGGGAGCACUGAGCUCUCUGGAUGACAUGUUGAAGAAGCAAACAGUAUGGCUGAGGAGAUAGCAUAAUGCUUAUACAAGAAGACUCUCGUGCCUGAGGCUGCGAGGUCCCAGGUUCAAUCCCCACACAUCUGUCUACAUGCUGGUAUCCAUCGGACUGUAUUCCACUUUCAACCAAGGAUGGAGAGAGAUUGAGAGAAGAGAGAGAAAGAGACACACCUACAGACCUGCUCCACCGAUGAUGUUUUUUUUAAAAUAAGAGAAACAGAUCAUCACUCCUCCAUAGGUGGUACCAGGGAUCAAACUCAGGACGUCAUGUGCGCGGAGGGAGACUACAAAGCAACGGAUGCCGGUGAGAAAUUCCUGAUUCAAGAUAGUGGCUACCUCAAAGGACUGGGGAAUAGAAUCUCAAAUGUAUCUAUCUGGCCACCAGGUUCCAUACGCCAGCAUGAUGCCAACCAGAUUUCCCUGGAUAGACAACCCCACCAAUGAAUGAGUCCUGGAGCCCCACUUCCCCACAACCCCAACCUACUAGGGAAAGGAGACAGGCUGAGAGUAUGGAUCGACCUGUCUAUCAACGCCCAUGUUCAGUGGGGAAGCAAUGACAGAAGCCACACCUUCCACCUUCUGCAUCCCACAAUGAACUUGGGUCCAUACUCCCAGAGGGAUAAAGAGUAGGAUAGCUAUCAGGGAAGGGGGUGGGAUACAGAGUUCUGGUGGUGGGAACUGUGUGAAGCUGUAUCCCUCUUGUCUUGUGGUUUUGUCAAUGUUUCCUUUAAAUAAAAUUUUUUAAAAUAAAUCUUUAAAAGAUAGAAAAAGGCUGGGAGUGUGGAUUGACCUGCCAAUGCCAUGUCCAGUGGGGAAGCAAUUACAGAAUUCAGACCUUCCAUCUUCUGCACCCCAUAAUGACCCUGGGUCCAUGUUCCCAGAGGGAUAAAGAAUAGGAAAGUUUCCAAUGGAUGGGAGGGGAUAUGGAACUCUGGUGGUGGGAAAUGCGUGGAAUUGUGCCUUUCUUAUCUCACAGUCUUGUCAAUCAUUAUUAAAUCACUAAUAAAAAAUUAAAAAUUA